GGGCGCUUGGCUCAGUUGGUAGAGCACCGCCUUCACACGGCGGGGGUCACUGGUUCGAGUCCAGUAGCGCCCACCA
rnacentral:tRNA from 2 species